rnacentral:misc_RNA from 1 species
CAUUGUUUUCACAAGAAGUGGCUCCAUGGCUAUACUCUUAAGUCAUUAUAGGCCCUGCUGUACUAUCUUUGCCUUCACUGAUGACGAAAGAAUUAAACAACGGCUGAUGCUUUACCAUGGGGUCAUGCCUAUCUACAUGCAGUUUUCAAAUGAUGCAGAAGAGACGUUCUCCAGAGCCCUCGAUUUGUUGCUGGAUAAGGGUCAUGUGG